GCAGUAGCAGCAGGAGGAGGAGCCCCAUGUUAGAUCCCCAUAUUCUCAGGGGACAGUUGCCUCUACUGACAGGUUGGAAGACAGACAGAAGAGAAAAAUGAAAGAAAGGGGAAUGAAGAAUCACACUGAAGGUGUUGUCCUCAGAGAGGAAAACUUGUCUCUUCUCAGCUGGGAAAUGCCAACCUAGACCAGUUUAGGAAAGAAGCUGGGAAGAAAGUAAUCGUGUCUACUUAAUAUAGUUGGAUGCAUGCAUCAGGUCCCCAAGUGCAAACUCCUAGGAGAGAGUUGCAUAUGGCAGUGCUGAGGCUAGUCCUGCUUCACACGAGCGGCUAAAGGUAAAAUCAGGGCGAAGUUGUAGAGUUGGUGGCACCUACAGCCUUGCACUGGAUGAGCCCACAAAGGGGGUGCUGGAGACUGAGCUGUUGACCCACGGAGUCCCCAACAACAGCAUGACCUGAAGAGGGUUAGAUUAGACUGAGAAUAAAUCCUUGCAGGUGAGGUGAGGGCCAGGAGGUAGGGCUGUCCAGAGACUAGCAUUCCGCCUCUCAGUGAGUGUCCCCUGAGGACACCUGCCUUACCUUAACUGUUUUCUGUUCCAGUUUGUUACAAGCAGCCCUGUUCGAGGGCUGUGUCAUCGAGGAGGAAGGUUGCUGAAUGCUGAAGGACACCCCACUAGGAUGAGGUCUCAUUUCAGAUGAGGACAUAAGGUCAUCUCUGUGCCAAGCUGUCCUUUCCACACCCUGAAACAGCACAGGACUGAAUAGCCCGCUCCUGCCCUCUGCUGGCCGAAAGGUGCUCUUAUGGACCUAUCUCUGCACUGGGCCAUCCCAUGGGGUCAAUCAAAUGCUUCAUCCAGCUUCAGCCCUGUCAUCCCACGCUGAGGCUGCACACUCUUCUGUGUCAGCCUAGAAUAUCAUCCCAGAUUCUGGUCUAUUACAAAUAAAGCUGCUACAAA